rnacentral:rRNA from 1 species
UACGGAGGGGGCUAGCGUUGUUCGGAAUUACUGGGCGUAAAGCGCGCGUAGGCGGACCUGCAAGUCGGGGGUGAAAGCCCGAGGCUCAACCUCGGAACUGCCUUCGAUACUGCGGGUCUCGAGUCCGGGAGAGGUGAGUGGAAUUCCUAGUGUAGAGGUGAAAUUCGUAGAUAUUAGGAAGAACACCAGUGGCGAAGGCGGGUCUCUGGGCCGAUACUGACGCUGAGGAGCGAAAGCGUGGGGAGCAAACAGG